rnacentral:rRNA from 1 species
AUUGAACGCUGGCGGCAUGCCUAACACAUGCAAGUCGAACGGGGGCAGCGAUGCUCUAGUGGCGGACGGGUGAGGAAUGCGUAGGAAUCGGCCCACGAGUGGGGGACAACCUGGGGAAACUCAGGCUAAUACCGCAUGAGCUCGUAAGAGGAAAGCGGGGGAUCUUCGGACCUCGCGCUGGUGGACGAGCCUACGUCCGAUUAGCUGGUUGGUGAGGUAAAGGCUGACCAAGGCGACGAUCGGUAGCGGGUCGGGGAGGACGACCCGCCACACUGGGACUGAGACACGGCCCAGACUCCUACGGGAGGCAGCAGUGGGGGAUAUUGGACAAUGGGCGCAAGCCUGAUCCAGCAAUGCCGCGUGGGUGAAGACGGCCUGCGGGUUGUAAAGCCCUUUAGGCGGGGAGGAACGACCGGACGCUAACAUCGUCUGGAAGAGACGUUACCCGCAGAAUAAGCACCGGCUAACUCCGUGCCAGCCGCCGCCGUAACAC